AAAGCAUUUAGUUUGACCCCCCGAAACUAAGCGAGCUACUUCAAAACAGCCUUUAGGGCCAACCCGUCUCUGUUGCAAAAGAGUGGGAAGAUUUUCAAGUAGAGGUGAUAGACCUACCGAGCUUAGAGAUAGCUGGUUAUUUAGGAAAAGGAUCUAAGUCCUACCUUAAGUUCUACAGUAACUAUUACUACAUCAACGAACUUAAGAGCUAUUCAAAUAAGGUACAGCCUAUUUGAAAUAGGAUACAACCUAAACUAUAGGGUAAUGUAAUCUAUUCUGUGAUCAAGUGGGCCUAAGAGCAGCCACCUUUCAAAAAGCGUUAAAGCUUAAUCACUAAAUUACUUAAAUUCCAAUAAUUUAUCAAAACCCUUUCCCAGUACUAAAUGACUCCAUAACUUUAUGGAAAACCAUAUGCUAGAACUAGUAACAAGAAGAAGACCUUCUCCAAAAUAUAAGUGUGAGCCGAAAUGAACAACUCACCGGCAUUUAACGUAAAUGAAUUUACAGUAGCAACCAAUACAAGAAAAUCCUACUCAUUAUUACGUCAACCUUACACCAGUAUAUUUAUGGAAAGAUUAAAAGAAGAGGAAGGAACUCGGCAAAUUAUUAACUCCGCCUGUUUACCAAAAACAUCGCCUCUUGAUAAAAUAUAAGAGGUCCAGCCUGCCCAGUGACAAAGUUAAACGGCCGCGGUACCCUAACCGUGCGAAGGUAGCGCAAUCACUUGUUCUUUAAAUAAGGACUAGUAUGAACGGCAUCACGAGAGUUAUACUGUCUCCCUCUUUCAAUCAGUGAAACUGACCUCCCCGUGAAGAGGCGGGGAUAUAAAUAUAAGACGAGAAGACCCCAUGGAGCUUUAAACUCAGUAUCAAUUACCCCAUUAUAUAUCAUUUUAACCCGGUAAAUUCUGACUACUAGUUUUCGGUUGGGGUGACCGCGGAGUAAAAUAAAACCUCCACGAUGAAAGGACCAACUCUCCUAAUCAAAGAGCGACAGCUCAAAGAAUCAACAAAUUGACAUAAUUGAUCCAAUUAAUUUUGAUCAACGAACCAAGUUACCCUGGGGAUAACAGCGCAAUCCACUUCAAGAGCUCCUAUCGACAAGUGGGUUUACGACCUCGAUGUUGGAUCAGGGUAUCCCAGUGGUGCAGCCGCUACUAAAGGU
rnacentral:rRNA from 1 species